rfam:Neotoma lepida isolate 417 scaffold_5165, whole genome shotgun sequence.
UGGCUCAGUGGUUAAGAGCACGGACUGAUGUUCCAGAGGAACUGGGUUCAAUUCCCAG